rnacentral:pre_miRNA from 1 species
GUGCUACUCCCUCCGGCUGGAAUUAUUUGUCGAAAUAUUACAUGUAUUUAAACGUUUUUUACAUAUAGGUACAUUCAUAUUUGGACAAAUUUGUGACAACUAAUACCGGCCAGAGGGAGUACUAA